ACGGGUGAGUAAUGCCUAGGAAUCUGCCUGGUAGUGGGGGACAACGUCUCGAAAGGGACGCUAAUACCGCAUACGUCCUACGGGAGAAAGCAGGGGACCUUCGGGCCUUGCGCUAUCAGAUGAGCCUAGGUCGGAUUAGCUAGUUGGUGAGGUAAUGGCUCACCAAGGCGACGAUCCGUAACUGGUCUGAGAGGAUGAUCAGUCACACUGGAACUGAGACACGGUCCAGACUCCUACGGGAGGCAGCAGUGGGGAAUAUUGGACAAUGGGCGAAAGCCUGAUCCAGCCAUGCCGCGUGUGUGAAGAAGGUCUUCGGAUUGUAAAGCACUUUAAGUUGGGAGGAAGGGUUGUAGAUUAAUACUCUGCAAUUUUGACGUUACCGACAGAAUAAGCACCGGCUAACUCUGUGCCAGCAGCCGCGGUAAUACAGAGGGUGCAAGCGUUAAUCGGAAUUACUGGGCGUAAAGCGCGCGUAGGUGGUUUGUUAAGUUGGAUGUGAAAGCCCCGGGCUCAACCUGGGAACUGCAUUCAAAACUGACAAGCUAGAGUAUGGUAGAGGGUGGUGGAAUUUCCUGUGUAGCGGUGAAA
rnacentral:rRNA from 1 species